rnacentral:rRNA from 1 species
CCCCUUCGGGGGACAGGGUGACAGGUGGUGCAUGGUGUCGUCAGCUCGUGUCGUGAGAUGUUGGGUUAAGUCCCGCAACGAGCGCAACCCUCGACCUUAGUUGCCAGCAUUCAGUUGGGCACUCUAAGGUGACUGCCGGCUAAAAGUCGGAGGAAGUGGGGAUGACGUCAAAUCAUCAUGCCCCUUAUGACCUGGGCUACACACGUGCUACAAUGGGCGGUACAAAGGGUCGCGAACCCGCGAGGGGGAGCCAAUCCCAAAAAGCCGCUCUCAGUUCGGAUUGCAGGCUGCAACUCGCCUGCAUGAAGCCGGAAUCGCUAGUAAUCGCGGAUCAGCAUGCCGCGGUGAAUACGUUCCCGGGCCUU